CCAGUGAUGGAAUUAAGGACGGCACGUUGUCCUUGUAAUGGGGAUCCAGCAGGGUGGCCACACAGUAAUCAGCACAAGUUAGAAUGUGGGCAACUUGGCAGUCGUUGCGCAGGCACUUUGGUGACUCUAGAUAACCUCUGGCCGAUCGCACGUGCCUGUGACAGCGACAACGCAUUCGGAUGUCUGCCCUAUCAAUUUUCGAUGGUACUUUCUGCGCCUAACAUGGUGAUCAUGGGUAACGGGGAAUCAGGGUUCGAUUCCA